rfam:Cephalotus follicularis DNA, scaffold: scaffold1236, isolate: St1.
ACGGCAUGAUGGGGACAUGUUCGAAUGAGUUCCUUUAAUCUUUCCCAUGACUCAUGGAACUGCUCACCAUCUUGUUGCGAAAAGGUAGUGAUAGCCUGUCUUAUCU